AGUGAACGCUGGCGGUAGGCCUAACACAUGCAAGUCGAACGGCAGCACAGGAGAGCUUGCUCUCUGGGUGGCGAGUGGCGGACGGGUGAGGAAUACAUCGGAAUCUACUCUGUCGUGGGGGAUAACGUAGGGAAACUUACGCUAAUACCGCAUACGACCUACGGGUGAAAGCAGGGGAUCUUCGGACCUUGCGCGAUUGAAUGAGCCGAUGUCGGCUUAGCUAGUUGGCGGGGUAAAGGCCCACCAAGGCGACGACCCGUAGCUGGACUGAGAGGAUGAUCCGCCACACUGGAACGGAGACACGGUACAGACUCCGCCGGGAGUCAGCGGUGGAGAAUAGUGGACAAUGGGCGCAAGCCUGAUCCAGCCAUACCGCGUGGGUGAAGAAGGCCUUCGGGUUGUAAAGCCCUUUUGGUGGGAAAGAAAUCCAGCUGGCUAAUACCCGGUUGGGAUGACGGUACCCAAAGAAUAAGCACCGGCUAACUUCGUGCCAGCCGCCGCGGUAA
rnacentral:rRNA from 1 species